GACGAACGCUGGCGGCGUGCUUAACACAUGCAAGUCGAACGGAAAGGCCCUGCUUUUGUGGGGUGCUCGAGUGGCGAACGGGUGAGUAACACGUGAGUAACCUGCCCUUGACUUUGGGAUAACUUCAGGAAACUGGGGCUAAUACCGGAUAGGAGCUCCUGCUGCAUGGUGGGGGUUGGAAAGUUUCGGCGGUUGGGGAUGGACUCGCGGCUUAUCAGCUUGUUGGUGGGGUAGUGGCUUACCAAGGCUUUGACGGGUAGCCGGCCUGAGAGGGUGACCGGCCACAUUGGGACUGAGAUACGGCCCAGACUCCUACGGGAGGCAGCAGUGGGGAAUAUUGCACAAUGGGCGGAAGCCUGAUGCAGCAACGCCGCGUGCGGGAUGACGGCCUUCGGGGUGUAAACCGCUUUCGCCUGUGACGAAGCGUGAGUGACGGUAAUGAGUAAAGAAGCACCGGCUAACUACGUG
rnacentral:rRNA from 1 species